AUGAGUUUGAAUGGGUUGUUGCUGGCCUUUCGAGGCAUGUGCACGCCUUUCUCAAUCCAACCAACACCUGUGAACUUAUGGGGAAGAUGAAGAGUGACGCUGGAUAACGGCUGAUCUCUAAGUCCUCUCUUCUUUACACCAAACUAAAGUUAUAGAACGUCCUUUGCUUAAUGCAAAACAAAUA
rnacentral:misc_RNA from 2 species